AUUGAACGCUGGCGGCAGGCCUAACACAUGCAAGUCGAGCGAGCGGGGGGCGGGGGAGAAAUGUCUGGGAAAAUGCCUGAUGGAGGGGGAUAACAACAGGAAAAGGUAGAGCAUACAGCAUACGACCAGAGGUGCGCAGAUGGGAUUAGCUAGUAGGUGGGGUAACGGCUCACCUGGGCGACGAUCCCUAGCUGGUGUGAGAGGAUGACCAGCCACACUGGAACUGAGACACGGUCCAGCCUCCUACGGGAGGCAGCAGUGGGGAAUAUUGCACAAUGGGCGCAAGCCUGAUGCAGCCAUGCCGCGUGUGUGAAGAAGGCCUUCGGGUUGUAAAGCACUUUCAGCGGGGAGGCGUUACCCGCAGAAGAAGCACCGGCUAACUCCGUGCCAGCCGCCGCGGUAAUUC
rnacentral:rRNA from 1 species